CGCGCCGCCCGCCCCUUCCGGCGAUGGCGGCGAUGGAGGAGCUGCCGGAGGGGCCGGCGGAGGAGCCGCAGGAGGAGCUGGCCCAGGAGGAGCUGGCCCAGGAGCUGGCCCAGGAGCUGGCGCACGCCGAGGUGCUGGAGCUGUUCCAGGCGGCGCUGGCGCGGCUGGUGCAGGACCCGCUGCUCUGUGACCUCCCGCCGCAGGUGACGGCGGAGGAGAUCGGCUCGCAGGUGGCGCUGGAGUACGGGCAGGCCAUGACCGUGCGGGUCUGCAAGGCGGACGGCGAGACCGUGCCCGUGGUGGUGGUGCAGAACGCCUCGGUGCUGGAGCUGAAGAAGGCGCUGCGGAGACACUUCCAGCUGCGGCAGGCGCGGCAGGGCGGUGUCCAGCACCUCAGCUGGAAGUACAUAUGGAGGACGUACCACUUGACCUACGCUGGAGAGAAGCUGGCGGAUGACAGAAAGAAGCUGCGAGAGUACGGCAUCAGGAACAGGGACGAGGUCUGCUUCAUAAAGAAGCUUCGCAAGUGACCUGUUGGAAACUCGAGUUCAGCUGAUUCACUGUUCUCAGGAGACAGGACACAUCACUGGGCAACUUUUGGUCAUAAUACUUUGUGCAGCUGAUGCCUUUAAGAACACUUCCAGCACAGGAAGCACUGGUAGCCACAGAGAGAGAGCAGACAAACCAGCCCUACCAGGACCAGACUGUGGAUUCAGCACUUCCCCGGAGGAGAAGGUUGAAGACUCUGAAGAGGAGCAAACUCCACUGACUGGACAUUCUCACAUGUUUUUUGUGGUUGCUCUUUGUAUGUGGAAUGCACUUGCAGGGAUUAAAGAGACCUUCUAGUUUUC